ensembl:lncRNA
GGCUACAUAAGAACACAUUUUCAGGCGUUCAUGAAUCUGGCGGAGAUCUUUUUCUUACGUUGGUUUUUCGAAAUCCGUAAGAAACAUUUCAGAAGAAACUUCAGAAAAUGUUCGAGAAUGAGACCCAUUGCCUUCAUCAGCACUAAGUUAUAAAUAUUAUGCAUAGUGAGGUCUUUUAUCACAUUUCAUGAAUUAGCUUCACACUCUGAUAUUGUUUAUGUCCUGCUUUAGAGUUGUUCUACAGCUUAUGAUAACUGGACCAUCUGUAAUAAAGACUUCUGAUUUCUCUUUCUGUGUGUGUGUGUGUGUGUGUGUGUGUGUGUGUGUGUGUGUGUGUGUGUGUGUGUUUGCAGUGGGAGGAGAGAGUCCUGCAGAUGAUCCAGACCCUCCUCACAUCAGGAAAAGAGACAGUAAUGAGUUGAUUCCUCCAGACAUGAGAGGAGAGAGUCCUGCAGAUGAUCCAGAUCCUCCUCACAUCAGGAAAAGAGACAGUAAUGAGUUGAUUCCUCCAGACAUGGGAGGAGAGAGUCCUGCAGAUGGUGAGUAUGAGAAAUGCCAACCUAAUACACUCUGGAAACUAAACCCGCUGUCCAGCAUGU